ensembl:snRNA U6 U6 spliceosomal RNA
GUGCUUGCUUUGGCAGCACAUAAACUGAAAUUAGAAUGACACAAAGAAAUUUACCAUGACCCCUGCACAAGAUGAUACGCAAGUUCACAAAUCAUUCCAUAUUUUU